AGUACCUAAACAUAAUUUAUCACGAAUUAUGAAUAUUGCCAAGUAUAUAUAUAUACAUAUAUAUAUAUAAAUCAUGUCAUAUAAGUCUUUGUUGUAGUAACCUUUUUCCAGGAGUGGUGAGAGGAACAAUGGAGUUUCCAUUAGCGAACGUUAUAAGCGGUUUAACCGCUUGACAGCUGUCGAAUUCCGGUUUGGUGACUUCAACGACGUCGUGGAAUGCAGAAGGCCCAAGUUCCAAGAUUAGUGCCUACGGUCCAACCACUAGGACCACCAAUUGUAUGGUCUGUAGGUACUGCUAGACCGAUGAGUGUACUUGCGAAGACCAAUAAUAUGAUCAGCAUUUCUCUGGAUGCCAUUCUCUUCUCUUUUUUAUUUUGUGAGGGAAAAUCAACAAGAGCUUGAAAGAUAGAUCAAAGAGAUGAUGAUGUUUGGUGCUUAACGUUUGGUGUCAGAUGUGUGUGUAUAUAGUGGUUUUAGGAAGAAGUGAUUGAAAAAGAAUCUUCGGUGAGCAGAGUUGGUAAAUAAUUUAACUUGUGUUUGUAUCUGUUGAGAGUUAGUAUUUAUGUUGGAUCAAGUAAAGAACUAAUAAUGGAUCAAGAAGCCUUUUUAUUUUAUUUAACCUAAUCCAUAAAUAGCCAGACAACGUUCUUGGUGCUACACUUGUCGAAUGAAAACCAGUUUAGUUGCACCGAAAACCAGUUUAGUUGCACCGAUUGUAAUAAGUUACAAACUCUACCCAUUUUAAUGGAAUUCACAUAUUUGGCAAAAAAAAAAAAAACGCAAGUUCCUUAACUGCUUACGAAGACAUGUAAAUUAUAUAUUAUUCAUAGGAAAGUGUAGUAUAUGAAAGUUACACAAGUUUCUGUAUAUAAGAAACAAAUCAACGAGUUUUUGGUUAAAUAAGAAAAAAAUGUCUUUGUUUUGGUCAACGGUUUACGUGUUUGAUUGACUUUAGCAAUUCUUUUUUUUUUUUGAAAAAAUGUUAAAUUUAUUCAAAUAAAAAAAAACUUUUUUACAUCAGGUGUAACAUUGUUUUAUUUUUGCAAUAAGAAAAAAUAUUGAAGAUCAAAAGCAACUUAAUCUCUUGCUAACUUCUUGUGGCAAACCAAUCCAUUACUUUUGAUAUAUUUUCUACGUAAUUCAUCUACGUAAAUAAACGCAUGCAUACUGCUUGAGUGAUUAGUAUAGCGUUCAGUCGUGAAACUUGAAACUCAUAGAGCUUUCUUUACUUUUGAUAUAUUUUCUGAAAGCUUAUGAUUUUGAGAAGCCUAAUGUGGAGCCAGCUCUAUAACCAUGGUGGUCUAAUGGUAGGCGGUUGCUAAACAAUUAGUUAAAAAUUAAGAUAAAAAUAUAUAAUCAAAUAAAUAUUUUCAUGAUAAAAAAUAUAUUUUCAAAAAGACCGUAUAAAAGGAAUUAUUAUACUUGAUACUACGAUCAACGGGGUGAGUGGACACUACAACUUUUAAACGAUUUGCUAGAUCUCCAAAUUAGUUCUCGGGUCGAUGUAACUAAAACUUCACAAUGAAACGUGGGCGAUGCAAUGUGUAGUAAAACGUAACACAAUUCAUUUUGUUGCGGACUCAACAUAAUUACUUGUAUACUAAUAUAUGUACAUUGUAUGGAUGGUAUAAACGUAACCCUUUUAUCUAUAAAAAGUUGUGAUCCUUUCAAUAGGCAUUUGGUUUUCAAUUCAGGUUCGAUUCAGUUAAUUUAUCUUUUUUUUUUUGGUUUUCGACUUCAGGUAACCAAAGAUGAACCAUCCUAAAGUUUGUUAGAUUAGAUUAUCAUUCGGUUCUUUUUUUUUGUAUGGAUAUUGUGUUAAGAACCGGUAAUACCCAAAAAUUUAUCCUAUCAAAUUUGGUUCUGGCUACAUUUAUACCCAAAAUUUGGAGAAUAUUGACUUUCCAUUUGACAAACUUAAUCAAUUUCGGAACAGUUAGCUUACUCUGCUAGCAAUAAAUAACUAGGCUAAGAUCCGCGUUAUACGCAGAAUGCAUAGUUAUGGAUAAUUUGUGUUAAUAAUAAAGUUUAUAUACUAAUUUUAAACACAUUUUUAUGGGGUAAAAUAUUGGACCAAGAAAAUGCUUGCCAUUGAUGGACCAUAUAUAACCAUAAACUAAUAAGAUAACCAUAACUUCUUCUUGGUAUAUAGAUAUUAUUAUAUAUUUUUGGCUUAUUAAUAAGAAAUAGACCUAUAUUUUUGUUUAUAUACGGGAAAAUUUCAUAAAAGUACUCCAACUAAAUUUUGUUACAUUUUAAUACCUUAAAUUUUUUGCUACCCAGUUUAAUACAUUAACUAAUCAUUUAGCUCAUUUUAAUACAUAAAAGUUUAAACAUGUUUCCAUUUUAACACCUAAAUUUGUUUAUUUUAAUUUUAAUCUAAAGUAUUAAUAAAUUUUAACCAAAUUGUAAAUUUCUCCAAAAAUUAAGAAAAAUCAUGAAAAUUCUACUUUUAUUUUAAAUUUUUAGGAAAGAAAGUAACUAAAUCUUGAAGAAAUAUUUACAUGAAAAGACAGUUAACUUUCAAAGAAAAAAUAAAUUUAUUUUUAUUUCAGAAAACAAACUAAAUUCGAUAUUUAAAACAUAAAAUUUUAUUACACAAUUUAAAAUUAUCUAAAAUUUAGUUACUUAUUUCCAAAACAUAAAAUAAAAUUACAAUUUUCAAAUAUUGUUUUUUUAAUUUUAUUUGAAACUUGUUAAUAUUUCUGACUAAAAUAUACUCAAUCUAUUUUUUUUUUAAGUUUCACUUUAUCAUUUUCACGAAGAUUAAAAAUUGUGCAAUAGACUAAUAUAUUUUUAUUUAAUGUAUGAUUAAUUAAAAAAAAAUGAUUUAAAUAAAAAAAUAUUUGUUAUUCAAGAGGGUACAAAAAUAAAUUCAAUGUACAAAGUUACAUUGAAAUUUUAGAACGACAGUUUUUUAAACAACAAAUUAGACCUAAAGUGACACUUAUUAUGAAACAAACAUAGUAUACAUUUUGGGUAUUAAAU